rnacentral:sRNA from 1 species
GUGUACCACUCGUACGCUGCGUUUCCCGCGCGCCGCCCACGCACAUCCGGCGGCUGCCGGCUCAAGGUGGUGUCGGCU